rnacentral:rRNA from 1 species
UAGUCAUAUGCUUGUCUCAAAGAUAAGCCAUGCAUGUCUAAGCACAAGCCGAUUAAUGGUGAAGCCGCGAAUGGCUCAUUACAACAGCCAUAGUUUCUUAGAUCUUACUUUUCUACUUGGAUAACUGUGGUAAUUCUAGAGCUAAUACACGCAAACAAGCUCAGACCUUACGGAAUGAGCGCAUUUAUUAGAACAAAAACCAAUCGGACUUUCGGGUCCGUCAUUUGGUGAAUCUGAAUAACUUUGCUGAUCGCACGGUCAUCGUACCGGCGACAUAUCUUUCAAAUGUCUGCCUUAUCAACUUUCGAUGGUAGUUUAUGCGCCUACCAUGGUUGUAACGGGUAACGGAGAAUAAGGGUUCGACUCCGGAGAGGGAGCCUGAGAAACGGCUACCACAUCCAAGGAAGGCAGCAGGCACGCAAAUUACCCACUCCCGGCACGGGGAGGUAGUGACGAAAAAUAACGAGACGGCUCGCUAUGCGGUCCGUCAUCGGAAUGGGUACAAUUUAAAUCCUUUAACGAGGAUCUAUU